UAAUACGGAGAAUGCAAGCGUUGUUCGGAAUUAUUGGGCGUAAAGCGCGUGUAGGCGGCUCAACAAGUCUGGCGUGAAAGCCUGAAGCUCAACUUCAGAAGUGCGCUGGAAACUGUCGAGCUUGAGUACUGGAAGGGGAAGGGGAAUUGUCGAGUGUAGAGGUGAAAUUCGUAGAUAUUCGGAAGAACAUCAGUGGCGAAGGCGCCUUCCUGGACAGAUACUGACGCUGAGACGCGAAAGCGUGGGAGCAAACAGGAUUAGAUACCCUGGUAGUCCACGCUGUAAACGAUGGGUGCUAGACGUCGCGGGUAACCAACCCUGCGGUGUCGAAGCUAACGCGAUAAGCACCCCGCCUGGGGAUUACGGCCGCAAGGCUAAAACUCAAAGGAAUUGACGGGGGCCCGCACAAGCGGUGGAGUAUGUGGUUUAAUUCGAAGCAACGCGCAGAACCUUACCCAGGCUUGACAUCCUCGGAACCUGGCCCAAAAGCUGGGGUGCUCGCAAGAGAACCGGGU
rnacentral:rRNA from 1 species